GACAUAGGUUGCGAACGUUAUCCGGAAUUAUUGGGCGUAAAGGGUGCGUAGAUGGUUUGAUAAGUUAUCAGUGGUAAAUCGGGGCUCAACCUCGUGGAAGUUGGUAAUACUGUCAUACUCGAGUGCAGGAGAAGUUAACGGAACUCUAUAUGGAGCGGUAAAAUGUGACGAUAUAUAGAAGAACACCAAUAAGGCGAAGGCAGUUAACUAGUCUGUUACUGACAUUGAGGCAUGAAAGCGUGGGGAGCAAAAGGG
rnacentral:rRNA from 1 species